GGGGAUUUAGCUCAGUGGUAGAGCGCUUGCCUAGCAAGCGAAAGGCCCUGGGUUCGGUCCCUAGCUCA
rnacentral:tRNA from 1 species